UGGCGGCAGCUUACACAUGCAGUCGCACGAGAAAGCUCCUUCGGGAGCGAGUAAAGUGGCGACCUGUGUGCGUAACGCGUGACCAACCUGCCCUUGAGGGGAGAAUAACUACGGGAAACUGUAGCUAAUACUCCAUAAUAUCUGGACCUCCCCUGAGGACCAGAUCAAAGCCUUGUGCACUCAAGGAUGGGGUCGCGUCGGAUUAGCUCGUUGGUGAGGUAACGGCUCACCAAGGCAACAAUCCGUAGCUGGUCUGAGAGGAUGAUCAGCCACACUGGCACUGAGACACGGGCCAGACUCCUACGGGAGGCAGCAGUGGGGAAUCUUAGGCAAUGGGGGAAACCCUGACCUAGCCAUGCCGCGUGGAGGAAGACACCCCUAUGGGGCGUAAACUCCUUUUCUACCGGAAGAAAACCUCGUUUUGCGAGGCGUGACGGUACGGUAGGAAUAAGCACCGGCUAACUCCGUGCCAGCAGCCGCGGUAAUACGGAGGGUGCAAGCGUUGUCCGGAAUCACUGGGCGUAAAGGGUGUGUAGGUGGGAUAGCAAGUCAGAGGUGAAAGCCUGCGGCUUAACCGUAGAAGUGCCUUUGAAACUGCUAUUCUUGAGUCCUGGAGAGGUUGCUGGAAUUCGUGGUGUAGCGGUGAAAUGCGUAGAUAUCACGAGGAACACCAGAGGCGUAAGCGAGCAACUGGACAGGUACUGACACUGAGGCACGAGAGCGUGGGGAGCAAACAGGAUUAGAUACCCUGGUAGUCCACGCCGUAAACGAUGAAUGCUCGCCGUUACUCCGCUUAAGGAGUAGUGGCUAAGUUAACGCGUUAAGCAUUUCGCCUGGGGAGUACGAUCGCAAGAUUGAAACUCAAGGGAUUGACGGGGGCCGCACAAGCGGGGAGCAUGGGGCUUAAAUUGAUGCAACGCGAAAAACUUACCUAGGCUCAACGCUACCGACGGGCCCGAAAGGACCUCCCGUAGGGCUGGGAGGGGGUGCUGCAUGGUGUCCGCACUUCGGUCGGGAAAGUUGGGUAAACCCCGCACAAGCAAACCCUGGUAUAAUUACCUCCGGUAUGGCGGGGA
rnacentral:rRNA from 1 species